CCUGGUCUGUGGAAGAGCCACAGUGUCU
rnacentral:piRNA from 1 species